GGAGGGUGCAAGCGUUGUUCGGAAUUACUGGGCGUAAAGCGCGUGUAGGCGGUUAGGCAAGUCAGAUGUGAAAGCCUUUCGCUUAACGGAAGAAAUGCAUUUGAAACUACCUGGCUAGAGUUCGGGAGAGGAGAGUGGAAUUCCCGGUGUAGAGGUGAAAUUCGUAGAUAUCGGGAGGAACACCGGUGGCGAAGGCGGCUCUCUGGCCCGAUACUGACGCUGAGACGCGAAAGCGUGGGGAGCAAACAGGAUUAGAUACCCUGGUAGUCCACGCGGUAAACGAUGGGCACUAGGUGUAGGAGGUAUUGACCCCUUCUGUGCCGAAGCUAACGCAUUAAGUGCCCCGCCUGGGGAGUACGGCCGCAAGGCUA
rnacentral:rRNA from 1 species